GACGAACGCUGGCGGCGUGCCUAAUACAUGCAAGUAGAACGCUGAAGGAGGAGCUUGCUUCUCUGGAUGAGUUGCGAACGGGUGAGUAACGCGUAGGUAACCUGCCUGGUAGCGGGGGAUAACUAUUGGAAACGAUAGCUAAUACCGCAUAAGAGUAGAUGUUGCAUGACAUUUGCUUAAAAGGUGCAAUUGCAUCACUACCAGAUGGACCUGCGUUGUAUUAGCUAGUUGGUGGGGUAACGGCUUACCAAGGCGACGAUACAUAGCCGACCUGAGAGGGGGAUCGCCCACACUGGGACUGAGACACGGCCCAGACUCCUACGGGAGGCAGCAGUAGGGAAUCUUCGGCAAUGGACGGAAGUCUGACCGAGCAACGCCGCGGGAGUGAAGAAGGUUUUCGGAUCGUAAAGCUCUGUUGUAAGAGAAGAAAGAGUGUGAGAGUGGAAAGUUCACACUGUGACGGUAUCUUACCAGAAAGGGACGGCUAACUACGUG
rnacentral:rRNA from 1 species